rnacentral:rRNA from 1 species
UACGAAGGGGGCUAGCGUUGCUCGGAAUCACUGGGCGUAAAGCGCACGUAGGCGGCUUACUAAGUCAGGGGUGAAAUCCUGGAGCUCAACUCCAGAACUGCCUUUGAUACUGGUGAGCUUGAGUCCGGAAGAGGUGAGUGGAACUGCGAGUGUAGAGGUGAAAUUCGUAGAUAUUCGCAAGAACACCAGUGGCGAAGGCGACUUACUGGACACAUAUUGACGCUGAGGUGCGAAAGCGUGGGGAGCAAACAGG